CUAAAUUGUAAUAGAGAGAGGUCAUUGCUCGCUUCUCACUGGUCUCCGACAGGCGACAACGAUCACACGGUUUUCCGAAUUCAGACAACAACAAAAAAAAAAACACAAUAAAACCAAAAAUAAAUAAAAUUUCACGUCAUCAAACAGUGUAGUGUUUGGUGCUCAUACUCUUAUAAAACGACGCAGUGUGUGUGGACCUAAAGUCUCUGGAGACAGAGAGAGAGAGAGAGAGAGAGAGAGAGAGAAUGGUGCUUCCCAUGGAAAUCGGGGUAGCGAUCGUAGUGUUUCUGAUGGCGGUGGCGAUGGAAUCGGACGGUCGAGAGCUGCGGCCGUCGGAUCACGGACUCCUAUACCAGGGCUCGCCGCCGGCAAGCGCGAAGUCGCCGACGGAAGUGAAGUCUUUCUUCGUCGGGGGAGGAGGAGGGGGAGAAAAUUCGCCGACGGCAUUGCCGAAGGCGAUGAACUCGAGCGACUCGUCGUGGUGGAAUGGCGUCGUCGCACGUGGCGGCGGCCACAGAGAUCACGUGAAGGAUGUGCUGUUGCUGGCCAGUUUGGUUUGUGGGAUUACAGGUGUCGCUCUGUUUGUGGCGUCUGCCUUUGUGUAUCUGUUAAGGAACCGAAAGCAUAAAUCAUUACCAUCAUCAGCGUCAUCAUGAGGUAAUGAUCUCUAUUAUGACAACUAGUGCUUCUCUGGAUUUCUGCUCCAUUUUUUUCUUUUUCAUUUUUAUGUUUUUCGUGAGUGUCAUGUGAAUAAGCUUAAGAGGUAGAUCCUAUAUGACAGAGGAUGCAGAGGUCCAAUUUUUUUUUUUGAGUUUGCUAUUUGCUAAUCCACACAAUCUUCUCUUAUCUGGGUGUAAUCAAUUAGGAAGCAUUCUCUGUUCUAGAGAAAAUUCUUUUUUUUUUCUAUGAAUGAGGUGGGAAUACGAAGAACUUCGGACCUCUUUUAACAUUAGAAAAUGAAAUAUUAUUAGACCAAAAACUAAUUGGUUUGUUUUAUAAAUGUUUUAAAGAAAAUUGUAUUAGUUGGCUUCUAUUUGUACUACUAUAAUUACAAUUAUCGUGAACUUGCGGCUUUUUCUGUGUGACAAUAAUCCUAUUUGUACUAUAUUCAUUGAUGAUCGCCUCUCAAGAUGGACUCUAUCAAUGUAUGUGAAACCCGCCUUUAUUAGAGAGGUGGCUAACAAAGUAAUCAGUAAAUAUGGUCUAAAUAGUAAGACCCUGAUGUUAUUGUAUGUCCAUUAGCAUAUCCAGUGUCCACCCUUAUAAUUUUAAAUGAACAAUGUUUUUGCCUUACUUACAUGCAACGA
rnacentral:lncRNA from 1 species